UGCAGUCGACGCACUCUUCGGAGUGAGUGGCAGACGGGUGAGUAACGCGUGGGAACCUACCUUUUGGUACGGAAUAACUCAGGGAAACUUGAGCUAAUACCGUAUGUGCCCGUUCCGCGAGGGAUGGGGAAAGAUUUAUCGCCAAAGGAUGGGCCCGCGUCGGAUUAGCUAGUUGGUGGGGUAAAGGCCUACCAAGGCGACGAUCCGUAGCUGGUCUGAGAGGAUGAUCAGCCACACUGGGACUGAGACACGGCCCAGACUCCUACGGGAGGCAGCAGUGGGGAAUAUUGGACAAUGGGCGAAAGCCUGAUCCAGCAAUGCCGCGUGAGUGAUGAAGGCCUUAGGGUUGUAAAGCUCUUUUACCAGGGAUGAUAAUGACAGUACCCGGAGAAUAAGCUCCGGCUAACUCCGUGCCAGCAGCCGCGGUAAUACGGAGGGAGCUAGCGUUGUUCGGAAUUACUGGGCGUAAAGAGUACGUAGGCGGUGAUUCAAGUCAGAGGUGAAAGCCUGGAGCUCAACUCCAGAACUGCCUUUGAAACUAGAUCGCUAGAAUCAUGGAGAGGUU
rnacentral:rRNA from 1 species